GGCCCGGCCUCUCCGAGCACCUGCGAGCGGGAGCUGCUCCUCCGACCCGCAGCGGGGCGUGGGCGGCAGAGGGGGCGGUGGACAGGCCUCUCCGCCUCUCCAGGCCGCGCGGAGCCAGCGCUCCGGCUCCAGGCUGCGAGGGGCGCGCGCGGGGCGCGGGGAGGGGGGCGGGCGCGUGCACACGGGGCGUUUUCGGGCGCGCGCCCCCUGGCUGGGUCUGCGGAGGGGCUGUGGGUUCCCCGGGGCUUCCCUGCCCCGCGCCUGCCCGCCGGGCGCUUCUCCCCCUCCAGGACCGCGGCCCACGUCGCCACUCGAGCCCGAGCCCGAGCCCGCGCCCACGCGCGGGGGCCGCUUCCUGCGAGGAGGCGGGGACAGGUGUCCGCGGGCGCAAACAGCGGAGUUUCGUGCGCCUAUUUUUUGGUAAAAGUAGAGGCGAUGCGUUGUUGACAUAUUUAGUGGUUAAAAACUUAUUGCCAAAUUCUCAACAGAUUCCAGAAUUUUUUAAAGUUCACAACACGAGAGUGGACGAAAUGUCGGAGCUUUUGCUCAUAUCCAGAAAUGUGGCCUCUGCCUCCCACUCGGGCCCUGCGGUGCAGACGGGUUCAGGGCGGCGAGGACUGAGCCAGGAGCGCCGAGAGUUCCAGCUGCUCCCAGGCUGGGUUCUAAUUAACGCUGGACCCCUGCUGUCUUUGCCAGUUCCAUGCUGUAUACACAUAAUGAGCCGUUACAACUCCAGCACCAAAGCUAACGCCCCGGGAACAUCUUUAAAACCUUUUUCACUCUGUUGCCAAGAAGAGUAGUACCUGCUGUCAGUACUUGAAUUACAGGAGGCUGAAACUCAGCGAGCUACUGGGAUUUUUUGAAAAUUGAAAACUUCCGUUAACUAUAGCAGAAACAGACCCUUUUGGUGGAAGCUAAAAUAAUUCCCAUGCUGCUCCGUUUUUAUUUUGUUCAGUUUACUCCAAAAAUGUUCCAAACUCUACUGUGAUCUUCUUAGUGCAUCUCUACUUCCUUUCGGCUGCAGAAUAAUACUUCUUUUUCUCUUUUGUUUUUUUUUAGAGAUGGAGUCUCACUCUGUCGCCCAGGCUGGAAUGCAGUGGUGCAAUCUCGGCUCACUGCGAUCUCUGCGUCCUGGGUUCAAGCAAUUCUCCUGCCUCAGCCUCCCAAGUAGCUGUGACUACAGGCAUGCACCACCACACCCAGCUAAAUUUUGUAUUUUUAGUAGAGACAGGGUUUCACUGUACAUUGGCCAGGCUGGUCUCGAUCUCCUGACCUCAAGUGAUCCACCUGUCUUGGCCUCCCAAAGUGCUGGGAUUACAGGCAUGAGCCACCGCGCCUGGCCUAACUACCCCCAUUCUUUUCCAGAGAAACGUGAACAGGCCAAACAAAGCCUCACCUGGCUAUCCCGCCACCCUGGGGUUGGGCCUCCAAAGGCCCGGGAGGUCACCUAAGACACGGUGUUCUGAACAUGCAAGCCCGACAGCAUCUUCUCUACCAUUCUGCCAGAGUCCAGAGACCUGGGAAUAGGUCAUACCCCCCACUGCAUUUUACAAGCUUGGCAUACAUUAGGUUCUCAAUAAAUACUGAAUUAAUGAAAAAAUUGCUGAAGUAACUGAAAACAUCCAUCCAAACCCCACACCAUCUGGUAGAUAAGUAGUCUGUGGGGAGUCCCAUAUUUUUCUUACCUUAGAUAUUUAUUUGGAAAUGGACUGUAGGCCCAAUAUGGUCAAUGAAACUUGCAGAGGAACAUUUCAUGCCUUUAAUUAGUUCUUCAUAACUGCAGGGACCUCUAGAGUUCCUGAAAUUGAACUGGGUUGUAAUACUGUCAAGAAAAAGGAGGACCUAUCUUAAAUCUAUUUCAAGGGUAAUACUAUUUUACUAUGUAAAUUUUCCCCUGGUCAGGGACAGCCUGAUCAUGCAUGGUAGACUCGAAGCAUGCAAAUAUUUCAACAUGCAAAACCGCCCUAAAAAUAUAACCGAAGCUUAUGGAGUUGUCCAGGGUACAGUGGUUUACUGGCCCCUGAAUGCGGGACUCCAUCAAACUGGGUUCCAGGCUGGGAGGUCUCUGAACCCAAUUUCUAGACAGCCUGCUUUGGAGUUCAACUGAUGGGACCUUAGACACCAGCCUUACCCUCUGCAAGUCUUGUGAUUUGGAGCCAGAUACUUGGCCUCUCUGUGCUCCAGGGAGACACCACUGCACCUACCUGAGAGGACUGAAGGAGAGGAUCUGUGCAACUCACUCAGGAUACUGGAUCUUAAGCCAAUGGGUGGACUUACAUUCGUCACCUCUGAUUCUGUCUCCUCCUGCGCGGUGACUUAGCAAACACUUCUUCCUCUCCAGCUCUGCUUCUUACUCUCCAGCUCUGCUGCCCUGUUCCAGUGCUGACGCCAGACAACAGAUAAUUUCCCAAAUGCUUGUAUUAGCCCUUAGGAGUUCAUGUGUUCCUCCCCCAGCCAAUAAAGCUGUUAAAUCCCAAUAACUGUCAGGAAUGGAGCCAAUUGCUAUAAAGUACUUCCAGCUUCUUGGCAUGAAGAAAUAAUUAGAAUAUAUGUGUUGGCUUUGAAACAACACUCACUGGUUCAUUAAAAAAUUCUGUGCAUAUUGUACAAAAGUAGUCUUGGCCUUGGCACUCCCUUAGGUGAACCUUACCCGGCCCUGGCACUCCCUUAGGUGAACCUUACCCGGCCCUGGCACUCCCUUAGGUGAACCUUACCUACUUCAGUGCUUCCUCAGCUCUGAUGAACUGUGUGCAAUUGCGUUUUUGUCGCAAGCUGCUGCUUAAAUACUGUGAAGCUCUUUCCUUAUGUCAGUCUCUCCACCUAUGUUACCAGCCAGCGCCUGAGACCCUCAUAUUAAGGAAACAGUGUGUUCCUAAGUCCUCUUUGAUAUUGUCCACUAUUGACUAUCGAUAGCAAACAUGCAUUGGCCAUGUGCUAAGCAUGUCAUUCCCCAAAUUUUAUUUUUUUGAGACAGUUUCGCUCUUGUUGCCCAGUGUGAAGUGGAAUGGUGUGAUCUCAGCGUACUACAACCUCCAC
rnacentral:lncRNA from 1 species